GUCAGGAUGGCUGAGCGGUCCAAGGCGCUGCGUUUAGGUCACAGUCCACUCUGUGGGCGUGGGUUCUAAUCUCACUCUUGACA
rfam:Schistosoma mansoni, Puerto Rico, WGS project CABG01000000 data, contig: 0034